UGUGCUUCCGAGUGUGGACGAUGUGUCUUCUCAUUUUGUAAUGCAGUUCUGCUUGCAUUGAGUGAUGUAAACAACCAAUCGAUCUACACUCAUCAAACAUCAAAACUUAUUAUUUGAUUUUUUUUUAUGAGAAUGUCUGCUUCAAGGGUCUAUAUAUGUUUCUAUGCUUAUACUUACCAACUAACACGUUAUUCUAUUACUAACUUUACUGAUAUUGUUGUUUUUCUACAGUGUCUGACAAAGAUCAGGGCUCAGGAGAGGUGGUGGUCAGGGCAGAGUGCUUCAGGUCUAUGAGGAAAACAGAGAAAUCUCACAAACUCAGCGUGGUCCUAAAAGAUUCGCUGCCUGUGCAACUGCUGCACUUCUCCUGCACGUGCAAGGCUGGAAAAGCUCUGUGCAACCAUUGUGUUGCUCUUCUGUUUCAAUCUGCACACUAUUCGCAGUUGAAAGUCCAAGUCGUUCCCCCGAUAUUGAGCUGCACUGAAGGUGAACAACAGUGGCAUAAGCCCAGAGUUAUGGGGAUAAAGCCUGGCCCUGUUGAGAAGAUGGCUGUGCUCUCAGCCAAACCCAAAACAAGAAAGACCACAGAGGGAGUGCGG